rnacentral:rRNA from 1 species
GAUGAACGCUGGCGGCGUGCCUAAUACAUGCAAGUCGAACGAGGCCCUCUUCCUUCGGGAGGAGGUGUCCUAGUGGCGAACGGGUGAGUAACACGUUGGUGACCUACCCCGAAGAGGGGGACAACCCCGGGAAACUGGGGCUAAUACCCCAUGUGAUCCUAAGGAUUAGAUGCCUAAGGAUGAAAUGGAGCAAUUCGCUUCGGGAGGGGCCUGCGGCCUAUCAGCUAGUUGGUGAGGUAAUGGCUCACCAAGGCGACGACGGGUAGGGGACCUGAGGGGGUGACCCCCCACACUGGAACUGAAACACGGACCAGACACCUACGGGUGGCAGCAGUAGGGAAUAUUGCACAAUAGGCGAAAGCCUGAUGCAGCAACGCCGCGUGCGCGAUGAAGGCCUUAGGGUUGUAAAGCGCUUUUCUGGGGGACGAGAAAGGACGGUAUUUCAGGAAUAAGUCUCGGCUAACUACGUG